GAGGAUCCCUUCAUCAUUAAAGAGGUUAUCCAGCCAGGCACAUACCGAUUGCAGUGGGUGGACGGCUCAGGCGUCCUCAAUCCAUGGAACAUGAAACACCUAUGGCGCUUCUACCCCUAGGAACUUAAAGCUAUGUACUCUUUUUACAUUUUACAUUGAAUAAAUAAAGCCCAUGCAGUUCUUUGCGUACCUACUACCUUUUUGCUUUCUUACCCAAGCCCUUACUCAAGCUCGGGGGGCUAUCCGACCUGAUCAACAGACCACACCCUCACUAUUACACUCGGGGGCUUCCCCCAUUACGAGCCGACCCUCGGGUCUCACCUAUUCUCCUACCCCUCUCAUGGCAAAUACAACUAACUCGUGUCGACGGUGUCCUAG
rnacentral:lncRNA from 1 species